UGGGGAAUAUUGCACAAUGGGCGCAAGCCUGAUGCAGCCAUGCCGCGUGUAUGAAGAAGGCCUUCGGGUUGUAAAGUACUUUCAGUCGGGAGGAAGGUGGUAAGGUUAAUAACCUUGGCAAUUGACGUUACCGACAGAAGAAGCACCGGCUAACUCCGUGCCAGCAGCCGCGGUAAUACGGAGGGUGCAAGCGUUAAUCGGAAUUACUGGGCGUAAAGCGCACGCAGGCGGUUGAUUGAGUCAGAUGUGAAAUCCCCGGGCUUAACCCGGGAAUUGCAUCUGAUACUGGUCAGCUAGAGUCUUGUAGAGGGGGGUAGAAUUCCAUGUGUAGCGGUGAAAUGCGUAGAGAUGUGGAGGAAUACCGGUGGCGAAGGCGGCCCCCUGGACAAAGACUGAUGCUCAGGUGCGAAAGCGUGGGGAGCAAACAGG
rnacentral:rRNA from 1 species